rnacentral:rRNA from 1 species
AGUGAACGCUGGCGGUAGGCCUAACACAUGCAAGUCGAACGGCAGCACAGUAAGAGCUUGCUCUUACGGGUGGCGAGUGGCGGACGGGUGAGGAAUACAUCGGAAUCUACUUUUUCGUGGGGGAUAACGUAGGGAAACUUACGCUAAUACCGCAUACGACCUACGGGUGAAAGCAGGGGAUCUUCGGACCUUGCGCGAUUGAAUGAGCCGAUGUCGGAUUAGCUAGUUGGCGGGGUAAAGGCCCACCAAGGCGACGAUCCGUAGCUGGUCUGAGAGGAUGAUACGCCAACAUGGAAAUAGGACCGGGUCCAGACCCAUAGGGGGGGACGGGGUGGGGAAAUUGGAACAGAGGGCGCAAGCCUGACCAAGCCAAACCGGGGGGGUAAAGAAGGCCUUCGGGUUGGAAAGCCUUUUUGUGGGGAAAAAAAAGAAGCGGGUUAAACCCCCGGUUUUCUGGCGGUCCCCAAAGAAUAAGACCCGGAUAACUUCGU